AAAUUAAAAUUGAAUUUUCAAAUUAUUUAAUUUUGAAUUGUAAUGGAAAGUUUUAUUUAGUUUGUUCGACUAUCAGUAUUAUUUUGAAUGUACGAUAGUUGCGCGCUCUGAUCUUUAGUGAACAAUCGCAACGGAAUAGUGGCGGCUGUCGACAAAUGCCGAUAUCGAUAGUUCUAUUAAUUUUACUCGAAGUGCGAUCACUGCUGGUUGGACACGGAGUAGAAAAUUAAAUAAUUUUAUUGAUUUAUAAGUGCUGUGAGAUAUAUGUAUAUAUAUAUAUAUGUGAAAUAUUUUAUUGUGAGAUUAUGUGUCAAUUAUGGCGCUGCUCUGUUUGAACAUUCAUAUGGAUAUAUGUGCCUACGUAUGCGUACAUGCGGAUGCUUGUAUGUUCGUUUGGACAGAGGCAAGCGGAGACACAAUUAGCACAUAAACAAGUAAAAUAAGUAGAUAUAUAAAUAUAAUUGAAAAAUUGAAAAAUAAAUGGACGGAAGAAAAACAAAGAGCCAAAAAACUUAAGAUUGAUGAACUACUUACGGUUGAUUUUCUCAAUUGAUAUAAAUACUAAAUAGGAAAGUAGCAAAAUGGAAAUUCUAUAUUUGGUAAUGGUUUUAUCCCAGCAGCAUUUGGACCACAAAUGAAUAUUUUGCAGGCUGUACACCCGAAUGCAAGGUUUUUGCUUUGUAUAUUUGAUAAAUAAUAAUUAUAAUAAUAAUAAUAAAUUUACAAUUAUAAUAAAAUGUCAAAAAGUUUGAAAUAUUUUCUUUUUUUCAAAAUUCAUAUUAGACACAUAAUGAUAUUCUAUAUUUGUAAGCCUAUUUUAAGUGUUGUAAGUUAAUAUUUGCAACUAACCGCAUCAAAAUAAAAACCCUAAGUCAGACGAAAUCUUACAUAUCGAAACCCGUCAAUUAAUGGCAAUUUAAUAUUGUUGCAUCUAUCGGAUUAUAAAUGUAAAUGUAAACUUGUUAGUCAAAAGUAAAACGCAUAAAGUGCACAUUAUACACUCAUGAUGAAAAUAAUAACGCCAACAUAAUUUUGGAGAUUCUGUCAUAACUAAUACAUUAUUGGUAUUUAAAAAAAAAACUGGAUGGUAACCUUAAGAAAACAAUCUGGCAA